rnacentral:misc_RNA from 1 species
GAUGAAGAACGUAGCGAAAUGCGAUAAGUAAUGUGAAUUGCAGAAUUCAGUGAAUCAUCGAAUCUUUGAACGCACAUUGCGCCCGCCAGUAUUCUGGCGGGCAUGCCUGUCUGAGCGUCAUUUCAACCCUCAUGCCCCUAGGGCGUGGUGUUGGGGAUCGGCCAAAGCCCGCGAGGGACGGCCGGCCCCUAAAUCUAGUGGCGGACCCGUCGUGGCCUCCUCUGCGAAGUAGUGAUAUUCCGCAUCGGAGAGCGAUGAGCCCCUGCCGUUAAACCCCCAACUUUCCAAGGUUGACCUCAGAUCAGGUAGGUAUACCCGCUGAACUUAAGCAUAUCAAUAAGCGGAGGA